GACAGAGGGGGCAAGCGUUGCUCGGAAUUACUGGGCGUAAAGGGCGCGUAGGCGGGAUGGCAAGUCGGUCGUGAAAUCCCUCGGCUCAACUGAGGAUCGUCGAUCGAUACUGCCGUUCUUGAGGAUUGCAGAGGAGACUGGAAUUCCCGGUGUAGCGGUGAAAUGUGUAGAGAUCGGGAGGAACACCGGCGGCGAAGGCGGGUCUCUGGGCAAUUCCUGACGCUGAGGCGCGAAAGCGUGGGGAGCAAACGGG
rnacentral:rRNA from 1 species